rnacentral:lncRNA from 1 species
AAAUGCCACGACAGAAAAAUUUUUAAAAAUAACAAAAAUAACCUUUUAAAAAUCUUCAUGAGGUUUAUGUUUAUCACACUCAUAUCCAAUAUUUAUAAAAACCUAUACUUACACCCACUUAAAUUGAUAAUGCUAGAAAAACCAUUUAUUUAUUGUAAAAAGUCAAAACCUCUAUAAGAAAAUAGGCUUUUCUUUUACUUUUCCGACUCUCAGAACUCUUCGAAGUAUUACAUUUCAAGAGUCUUCUUCUCUCCGAGAUUAAGCGGCUAGGAGUUCAUUUCCGCUUCACCACUCCACCACGAGUGUCCUUUCUCGACGAACAACCAACAACAAGCUCUCUUUUCAACCGACAUCCGACGACGAGUAUCUGCCAAGAAGAAGCAAGCUGAUCUCCGCAGGCAACAAUCCGCCUCUGCAGCAGCUGCUACUUCUUCUGCUGGGUCUAAUACUAUUGAGAUGUUC